rnacentral:rRNA from 1 species
UACGUAGGUGGCAAGCGUUGUUCGGAAUUAUUGGGCGUAAAGGGCGCGUAGGCGGUUUGUUAAGUCAGCUGUGAAAGCCCGGGGCUCAACCCCGGAGGGUCAGCUGAUACUGGCAGACUAGAGUACAGAAGAGGUAACUGGAAUUCCCGGUGUAGCGGUGAAAUGCGUAGAUAUCAGGAGGAACACCGAUGGCGAAGGCAGGUCUCUGGGCCACUACUGACGCUGAGAAGCGAAAGCAUGGGGAGCGAACAGG